AAUCAACGCUGGCGGCGUGCCUCAGACAUGCAAGUCGAACGAUUAAAGCUCUCUUCGGAGAGUGUAUAGAGUGGCGCACGGGUGAGUAACACGUAAGUAAUCUACCCUCGAGUGGGGAAUAACAACCGGAAACGGUUGCUAAUACCGCAUAAUGCAGCGGCACCGCAAGGUGACAGUUGUUAAAGAUUUAUCGCUUGAGGAGGAGCUUGCGGCAGAUUAGCUAGUUGGUAGGGUAACGGCUUACCAAGGCUACGAUCUGUAACCGGUCUAAGAGGACGGUCGGUCACACUGACACUGAAUAACGGGUCAGACUCCUACGGGAGGCAGCAGUCGAGAAUUUUGGGCAAUGGGCGAAAGCCUGACCCAGCAACGCCGCGUGAAGGAUGAAGUAUUUCGGUAUGUAAACUUCGAAAGAAUAGGAAGAAUUAAUGACGGUACUAUUUAUAAGGUCCGGCUAACUACGUG
rnacentral:rRNA from 1 species